AAGGCUUGACAUGGACUGGAAAUACCUGGAAACAGGUGCCCCGCUUGCGGUCGGUUCACAGGUGGUGCAUGGUUGUGGCAAGCUCGUGUCGUGAGAUGUUGGGUUAAGUCCCGCAACGAGCGCAACCCUCGUUCUAUGUUGCCAGCGCGUGAUGGCGGGGACUCAUAGGAGACUGCCGGGGUCAACUCGGAGGAAGGUGGGGACGACGUCAAAUCAUCAUGCCCCUUAUGUCUUGGGCUUUAGUAACCCACAAAGGGAUUCCGGUACCCAGGGUUGCGAUACUGUGAGGUGGAGCUAAUCCCAAAAAGCCGGUCUCAGUUCGGAUUGGGGUCUGCAACUACCCCAUGAAGUCGGAGUCGCUAGUAAUCGCAGAUCAGCAACGUGAAUACUUGCCC
rnacentral:rRNA from 1 species